rnacentral:rRNA from 1 species
AUACGUAGGUGGCGAGCGUUGUCCGGAUUUACUGGGUGUAAAGGGCGCGUAGGCGGGGGAGCAAGUCAGAUGUGAAAUCCAUGGGCUUAACCCAUGAACUGCAUUUGAAACUGUUUCUCUUGAGUGUCGGAGAGGUAGAUGGAAUUCCUAGUGUAGCGGUGAAAUGCGUAGAUAUUAGGAGGAACACCAGUGGCGAAGGCGAUCUACUGGACGAUAACUGACGCUGAGGCGCGAAAGCGUAGGGAGCAAACAGGAUUAGAUACCCUGGUAUGCCACGCCGUAAACGAUGAAUACUAGGUGUGGGGGGACUGACCCCCUCCGUGCCGCAGUUAACACAAUAAGUAUUCCACCUGGGGAGUACGGCCGCAAGGUUGAAACUCAAAUGAAUUGACGGGG